UGUUCAUCCUGAUCGUCUUGACAGCUAACCAAAAAAAUGGCUCACUUCUGCAGCAUUUUUUCUACGCCAUCAAUCAACAUUACAACAACCGCCAUGUCAGAAAGAUGUCCGAAAAUAUAAAAGCAACUGCAUGUGUCGGUUUUUCAGUCGAUUCGACCAAGACACUCCCCCGAAGUCUUCCAAAGUCGGAAACAACUCCAUAAGUCCUUCAGUUUUGCCUCCCCCAACGAUUAGUGCCCUCUACUAUGCAAAUUGUGUACACGGUUUGAGGAAUGAUGCUGUUCCUGUGAAAUAACAUUUUCCGGUUUCCUCCGACUUUGGAACGAUCACUGACAUCAGUACGGCCACUGACAGAAGUAGCCAAACGGACGAAUGAUGUGGGAAAGCGACAAGUUUCGGUUAAAACAAUCAAGUUCAGGAAGACAACGAUGAAUUGACUCAUCGUCUGAAACAGCAACUCGUGAACUCGUCAUUGAGAAGAAAGCUCCGGUACAUAAAUAGACUUCUAGCUUCGGACUGCAGAAUUAUAUGGACGAUCUGGAACUGCUUGGCGUAGCUUGACCACCAGCUAAGAACGGCAAAGCUUAGCCAAAACAUCAAAGUAUGCGUACGGCUAGACUAAACGGUGUUACCGAUGGCUCUCACGCUGGAAAACAACUAUUCGGGCAUCUGUAGUAGCCGUUGAGCUUAAUGCGGGAUAGAGUGAUCGGUGCAAUUCUUUAGGUAGAUGCUGAGGAGAUUCAGCCAAUGCUUCAACUUCAGAACCAUACUGGUCAGCACUCAACACACAGUCCCGGUGCCAGUUGCCAGUCAUGCCCUCACUCAUUUUUUAACAGCACAUCGGUUUCAGCAUCUCAUGCAGUUUGGACACCAUUCAGAAAGUUCUGCUUGGAAUAGCUCCUUUUGAUUAUUAUGUAGUGGCGUGUUGAUCAACAGUUCGUGAGCUAAUGCUAAUGUUGGGACCUUUCCUUAGCCAUGCGGUGAGAUGCGCGGCUACAAAACGAGAUCAUGCUGAAGGUGACUGGGUUCAAUUUUUUGUCCCGUCAUAGGAAAUUAACAUUUUUGACUAAGUUUGCAAGGCAGAAGGAAAUCGAAGUUGGGAAAUGUUUUGAAGAAAUUGUUCUUGUACGACUUCAUGCGACAACUUUCCGAGCAGCAUACUAAAUUUGUUCUACGUAGGCCGAUUUGAACGACACCUUUUCAUAGUUUAUCAGCAAGAAACUGAGCUUGGAUGUUUCAUGCUUACGACACAUCUGUUGCUUGCGCUCGCAGUUUAUGGUAAUAUCGAAGCAGCAACCAAAAAACGUC